rnacentral:misc_RNA from 1 species
GAUGAAGAACGUAGCGAAAUGCGAUAAGUAGUGUGAAUUGCAGAAUUCAGUGAAUCAUCGAAUCUUUGAACGCACAUUGCGCCCCAUGGUUUUCCGUGGGGCAUGCCUGUUCGAGCGUCAUUUACCCCCUCAAGCUCCGCUUGGUGUUGGGCGUCUGUCCCGCUUCGCGCGCGGACUCGCCCCAAAGGUAUUGGCAGCGGUCGUGCCAGCUUCUCGCGCAGCACAUUGCGCUUCUCGAGGCACCGGUGGGCCCGCGUCCAUCAAGCUCACCCCCCCAGUUUGACCUCGGAUCAGGUAGGGAUACCCGCUGAACUUAAGCAUAUCAAUAAGCGGAGGA